AGCCUGAGGGCGUCGCCGAUCGGCAGAGCCCGGCUGAAGGCGCAGCGUGUCGAGAGCGCCACGCCAGCCAUGCGACUCCUCUGCUUACUGCUCGGUUUGAGUGUACUUGGAAAAGUGCUGUCAGGGAAAGUGGAUUUUAUUCCAUGCCAUCCUCGAGACCCCUGCCCGCCACUUACUCCGUACUGCUGUCACGCCGCCUGGAGCUCCAGCUGUCUCUGCCUACCUGGCGGAUGCGGCAAACUGGGCCGAUGCUUCAUCGAUGGAUGAACGGCAAUGAUGUUUACUGAUGAAGAUUUUCAGACCGCUUUACAGGAAGCAUUGUGACAGCAGGUAGCAUUACGCUCUUAAGUACCCAUAAAAUAAACAUGGAGUCUGUAA